AAGUCGUAACAAGGUUUCCGUAGGUGAACCUGCGGAAGGAUCAUUAUCGUUGGGCUUCGGCCCAUUCGAGAUAACACCCUUGCCUUUUUGAGUACCUUUUCGUUUCCUCGGCAGGCUCGCCUGCCAACGGGGACCCUUCAAAACGCUUUGUAGUACCUGUAAUCGUCUGAUAUAACAAGCAAAAAUCAAAA
rnacentral:misc_RNA from 1 species